GACGAACGCUGGCGGCGUGCCUAAUACAUGCAAGUAGAACGAGUUGCGAACGGGUGAGUAACACGUGGUAACCUGCCUCAUAGCGGGGGAUAACUUUUGGAAACGAUAGCUAAUACCGCAUACUGUGUGAUGGACCUGCGUUGUAUUUGCGAGUUGGUGAGGUAACGGCUCACCUAGGCCACGAUCCCUAGCUGGUCUGAGAGGAUGACCAGCCACACUGGAACGGAGACACGGUCCAGACUCCUACGGGAGGCAGCAGUGGGGAAUAUUGCACAAUGGGCGCAAGCCUGAUACAGCCAUGCCGCGUGUAUGAAGAAGGCCUUCGGGUUGUAAAGUACUUUCAGCGGGGAGGCGUUACCCGCAGAAGAAGCACCGGCUAACUACGUGCCAGCAGCCGCGGUAAUAC
rnacentral:rRNA from 1 species